AAAUAGGCCCAGGAACAGAAAGCUCAUCUCUCCGGGGAGAGGUAAAAGGCGAAGUCUCAGGCCAUUUGGACCCAAAAGACAAAAACAUCUUUGCCAGUGGCUGAAAAAGCACAACUGGAUGGUCCUCUUCCAGGGAGGUCCCUAACAAGACCAAAGCUGUCCAAAACAUGUGCUUCUGAAAGGUACCUGUGCUACUCCUCUCAACAGAGGCCCACAUUAUGAACAAUUUCAGCUCUCAUCAUUUUAUUUAUUCCCAAAUGGUAAGCCAAUUGAC
rnacentral:lncRNA from 1 species